rnacentral:rRNA from 1 species
GUCUGUUUGUAGGUAUAAGCAGUCUAGCCUGCCCACUGAUAUUUAUUAAAGGGCCGCGGUAUUCUGACCGUGCAAAGGUAGCAUAAUCGUUAGUUUCUUAAUUGGGAUCUUGUAUGAAUGGUUGGACAAGAGAAAAUCUGUCUUUAUAAUUGUUAUUGAACUUAACUUUUGAGUGAAAAGGCUCAAAUAAAUUAGAGGGACGAUAAGACCCUAUAAAGCUUAAUAUUAGGAAGCAUUAAGCCCAAUUUUAAGAUUAUAAAGGUUUAUUGUGUACUUUUUAUUAUAUUGGGGCGAUAGAAGUAAAAUGAUUAGUAACUGCUUCAUUUUUAGACAAAGAUAAGUGAAUAAAGAAGAGUAAAGGAUCCUUUAUAAAGAUUAUAAGAGCAAGUUACUUUAGGGAUAACAGCGUUAUUUUUUUUGAGAGUUCUUAUCGAAAAAAAAGUUUGCGACCUCGAUGUUGAAUUAAAAUUUCUUUACAAUUGCAGCAGUUGUAAGAGAAGGUCUGUUCGACCUUUAAAUUUUUACAUGAUUUGAGUUCAGACCGGCGUGAG